GUAUUGAGGCCUACAGUGUUGACCCUUUAAAUACUGAUCAGUAAUGGUAUUGAGGUCUACAGUGUUGACCCAUCAAAUACUGAUCAGUAAUGGUAUUGAGGCCUACAGUGUUGACCCAUCAAAUACUGAUCAGUAAUGGUAUUGAGGCCUACAGUGUUGACCCUUUAAAUACUGAUCAGUAAUGGUAUUGAGGCCUACAGUGUUGACCCUUUAAAUACUGAUCAGUAAUGGUAUUGAGGCCUACAGUGUUGACCCUUUAAAUACUGAUCAGUAAUGGUAUUGAGGCCUACAGUGUUGACCCUUUAAAUACUGAUCAGUAAUGGUAUUGAGGCCUACAGUGUUGACCCAUCAAAUACUGAUCAGUAAUGGUAUUGAGGCCUACAGUGUUGACCCUUUAAAUACUGAUCAGUAAUGGUAUUGAGGCCUACAGUGUUGACCCUUUAAAUACUGAUCAGUAAUGGUAUUGAGGCCUACAGUGUUGACCCAUCAAAUACUGAUCAGUAAUGGUAUUGAGGCCUACAGUGUUGACCCUUUAAAUACUGAUCAGUAAUGGUAUUGAGGCCUACAGUGUUGACCCAUCAAAUACUGAUCAGUAAUGGUAUUGAGGCCUACAGUGUUGACCCUUUAAAUACUGAUCAGUAAUGGUAUUGAGGCCUACAGUGUUGACCCUUUAAAUACUGAUCAGUAAUGGUAUUGAGGCCUACAGUGUUGACCCAUCAAAUACUGAUCAGUAAUGGUAUUGAGGCCUACAGUGUUGACCCUUUAAAUACUGAUCAGUAAUGGUAUUGAGGUCUACAGUGUUGAUCCAUCUGAUCAGUGAGAUGAUUAUGGUUGUAUGCAGUUGUCUCGCGGCUUGCCUUUUUUAGUUGAAUAAAUGUAAUGUGCUGUGAAAGUGUUGCUAAUGACUCAUUAGCCAUGAGCAAAAUGUUGCUACAACAUUGAUCAAUGAUAUGUUUAUGGCCACAACGUCCGCUUCGAUGCAGAGCCGCAGUUUGAGUCAGAAGACUCUGUAACUACUGUACAUAAAUAUAAAUUACAUGUCUGUCUUUGUCAGAGGACUCGAGUCACUGUAGAUACUGUCUGAUAGAAAAGGAGGGUUCAUGUCUGUCUGUAGAAAAGGAGGGUUCAUGUCUGUCUAUAGAAAAGGAGGGUUCAUGUCUGUCUGUAGAAAAGGAGGGUUCAUGUCUGUCUGUAGAAAAGGAGGGUUCAUGUCUGUCUGUAGAAAAGGAGGGUUCAUGUCUGUCUGUAGAAAAGGAGGGUUCAUGUCUGUCUGUAGAAAAGGAGGGUUCAUGUCUGUCUGUAGAAAAGGAGGGUUCAUGUCUGUCUGUAGAAAAGGAGGGUCCAUGUCUGUCUGUAGAAAAGGAGGGUCCAUGUCUGUCUGUAGAAAAGGAGGGUUCAUGUCUGUCUGUAGAAAAGGAGGGUACAUGUCUGUCUGUAGAAAAGGAGGGUUCAUGUCUGUCUGUAGAAAAGGAGGGUUCAUGUCUGUCUGUAGAAAAGGAGGGUUCAUGUCUGUCUGUAGAAAAGGAGGGUUCAUGUCUGUCUGUAGAAAAGGAGGGUUCAUGUCUGUCUGUAGAAAAGGAGGGUUCAUGUCUGUCUGUAGAAAAGGAGGGUUCAUGUCUGUCUGUAGAAAAGGAGGGUCCAUGUCUGUCUGCCUUUCUUUAGUCAGAACACAGUCUCUUCCUUCUUCAGACACACAAUGUUCAAGGCUGAAACUCUUACAGAGCAUUUUUUAGGAGAUGACUGCAUUGCCGACUCUAUACAAACACACACACUGCCAACUCUACUUUUAAAAAUAUGUUUAGAUGACGGAGAUAAAGUCUACUCCUCUGCAGCAUAACUAUGUGUGUGUGUGUGUGUGUGUGUGUGUGUGUGUGUGUGUGUGUGUGUGUGUGUGUGUGUGUGUGUGUGUGUGUGUGUGUGUGUGUGUGUGCGUGUGUGUG